UAUGUUAAUUAAUCAAACGAAUAAAGUUCGUUAAAAGACCUAGGGUUAGUUUUGGGCCUUAGGCCCAAUGGGCUUCGAAUGUCAAGCCCAUUGACUUAAGUUGUAUGACAACUUAAUGACUAAAUAUUCACAAAGGCCCAAACAACCCAAUAACACCCUAUGGCUGGCCAUAUUGAUAAUGGAGUGGAUUUUGGACUUAUUACAAGUUUGCCACUCCAAUGAAGGUAGGUAUAAAUAUGACUUUAUA
rnacentral:lncRNA from 1 species